GGUUUUCUGCUCCGCCUCCCCUCGUUUGGUGGAUCGCGGGAGUGCUCCCAGCGGGAAAAUGCUCCGUGCAGGCUGAGCGUGGCUGGGGUGGAAGUGAAAGUGAAAAAAAGAUAGCGACAGACGUUUUUUUGUUUGUUUCUGAUAUCCUCUCUCUGAUGACCAGUGAUAAACCCGAGGGAACGGCAUGGAGCUGCUUCAGGGGAGGGUCAGGUUUGUCAUACAGAAGUGAGAGCCCUGCCUGCUGAUCAGCCCCCUUGCUCAUUUGGUUCCAAGGACAACUUUAACACCAUGAGGUUCUACUAAGUUGUGUGGACCAGAAUUGUACCACUUCUCAAAGUAUAGCUCUAUGUGCCCAGUUUGCACAGAACAGCAAAUUAAUGCCAUCUCUCUUAUUCUCAAUGGUUGCUACUAAGUUUUCGUUGACUUUGUUUUGGCUGCUGCCUCCUACAGAGCCAGUGGUUUCAGGAGGGUAACUGAACUCUGAGGUGUCUUUCCUCAGGUGGAAGUAUAACCACGGAGCUUACCAUUAUGCAAAUGUAGUUUCGAUUAUUUUUUUCAUAUGUGCACUGUGUUAUACUUCCUUACACUGAAGCUUCUCUGCUACUUCUCUUUUGUUCAUUCAGCUCUUUGACUCACAGCCAAGUUUUGCUUGAAAACCUGCCCUCAUUGACUUCUCUGGUUCCUUGCUUGUCUGUUUUCCUUAUUUCCCGAUAGCACUGCUGCCUUUCCCUGAUAACUCAGUGUUUACUUUCAUUUUCCAUUUUCCAUUUUCCCCUCCCACCACACUGAUCUGACCCAGUUCACAAGCAUUCCAGAGCCAAGCAGCCAGUGCUUCUUUUCCUUUUAAUAGUAUGUUUAAGAGAUCACUUUUAUGUGUGACUUUCUGUUCUCUUGGCUAACUACUUAAAACUGUCUUUGUGCAAGAUUUCAGGUACUUCACAACAAAUUAUACAGAAAUAGCCAGGUAAAAACAGAGGAGAAUGGAGUUGCCUUUUUUUUUUUCUCCAAGGCAGAUCUUUGUGUUUAGAAUCAAUGUAGAGAGUAUAAAUCUGUUUCAAAAUUAACUUAUACUAAACAUUUUUCACUUUCUUCAACCGUACCUUUAUCAUUUUGUCUUUUGUACAGCAGGAAAUGAUGCUGAAGAGCAAAUGUGCUAACUAUGUGAAAAGCACUAUUCUCCUGGAACAUUAUUUUCAAGUUCUGCUUUUCUAGCAAAAAAGGAAGCACAGCAGUAUUAGCCACGUAUAUCCUGCUGGAUUCUUCUAUGCCAGUCAUGAGUCUGUGUGCCACCCAGUUUGCCAUUAAUAGCAGCAUUCAAACAUUUCUGAAAUAUUAUGUGUACGUUGAAAAUAUCUUUGAUGCAUACCUGAGGAACUGAAACACACGGGGUUCUGGGAUGCCAUUCUCUCACUGCAAGAGUGCUGUCAGGAACAGAGGGAGGGAACCAGAUCUCCUGCCACUUACAGAGACCACUGUGCUUUUCUGAACCUCCUCUUGAAGGCUAUAGGCCAGAAAAUCAGUCAUUGCUUGCAACAUUUACUGUAGAUUGCUAGUACUUGUACAUCCUCAGAGGGCACAUCCAGGUCUGGGUUUACACUGCAGUAACAAUCAGACAUGGACUUUACAUGUAAUGCAGAGAGCAUCAUCUGAAAACACACUCAGCUGAAGCAAAAAUUAGAGAGAGAUUUCAUAAUUGCCAUUUCCUAAGAAAGCUCAGAGAAAAUUAUGAAGAACAGGAAGUCUUGAGUAAACUUCAGUGUUAAGUUCUCUGUACUUUUUUUUUUUUUUUUCCCCUGGAAAUACAGAUCCCUCUUUCAAAAAGGAGCCCAGUUCAAAAAUGCCAAUGUUUUACUUUACUGAUACUCUUCAGACAUUGUUUCAGAAUCUUUUUGCAACAGAUGUAAAUCUUGUGUUGAGAUAAACUGGUGAUCAUUAAAAAAUUAAAUUGAUUUUGG
ensembl:lncRNA